GGUAAACAGUGUCGGACAUUUUGUAAUCAUUAUGCUUAUGACAAUUGAUAUUGAUUCCAAGCGUUAAAUGGUAAAGGAAAUAGAAUAUAAUAUUCUUUAUCAAAACGAUGUUUUUGUACCAUGUGAAAGGAAGUCAGACAAAUUUUUAGGCAUAUUUAGAAGAUAAUUAUGAGAAAAUGGAAGAACUAGAAUGUAAGAAAGACCAGGACAAGCACGUCCCAAAGUUUUUACAUUCAACUGUUCCAUCUCUGUGCAGUCAUCAGAACAAAGUGACAGUCUCUAAUUCAAAUUUAUACCCUGGCAAGAUAAACGAAGCUCAAGUCUGUGUUGGCAAGUCAUGUUUAUCAGAGCCAGAGAGCCCAGCAUGUAGAACAGAAGAAAUCCGGGAUAAUAGCAAGAAAGUAGAGCUACAAGAGGAAAAUGACCAAGACAUAUACGUACCCAAGUUCUUUAUUCCACCUAUCAAUAUUUUUUCCAUUGGCCAUGCUGUAGAGAAUGCAGAAAUUAAAUCAGUUAAUGAAGCACAAGUCUGUGUUGAUGAUUCGUUUCUUCCAAAGUCAGAAACUCCUGACUCUGAUUCAAAAGGAAUGGGGAGUAUGGAAAUUGAAAGAUCUAUUGCGUCUGAUAAAAAACCCGAUCCUGAUAUUUUAGAUGCUCUCGAUGCAAAGAAUGCUGCAGCAAAAGAAAAGUUUACAAUUAAUGAUAGAGGGAUACAAGCACAGAUGUACUUUCACUGCCCGGGCUUGCCAGAACAACCAAUGAAUUGGGAAGACAUGGCCUGUGUCUCCUAUAAAGGCAAUGAAUAUAUCGUCAAGUUUGUCAAAAACAUCCCAAAAGAAUGUAGUCAGAUUGAAGAGGCUUUACAAAAAAAGUUUGUCAAGGUAGAAUGGCCAAAAUCAAAGUCAGAUUUCACUAUCAAAUUACAAUGUACAGUUACCAAAGAUAUGGAGAAUGCAAAGGAAAUUCUCAAAAACUGGAAAAAAGAAGCAGAGGCGGAGAUGGAUAGACAGAUGAAGAAGUAUUUGUGUCAAAAGCAUUCUACAGUACCGGAAACAUGGCCAGCACUUCUGGCUCAGUUGAAAACAUUGACCAUUGGUCAACCAGAAAGAGUGGCUGUCCUUUUGGACAAGAAAAAACACACAGUUAUAGUAGCUGGCUAUGAGGAAAAUUUCGAAGCCCUUACUCGGAUAAUUCUAAAUAUUAUCAGGACAGAGGAAUCCAAAAUUCAAAAUCAAACAGAGAAAAUAAUGAAAAACACACCCUUAGAUUUCAAUAAGUGCCAGCAACUUUGGAACACUCAUUUUUGGAAAAAAUUGACAAAUGAUUUUCCAGAUCUUGAUUUUCAAGUUGAAAUAGAAAAAGAAGAAGUUAAUUUGACUGGAAAGCCAAUAGAAGUCAAUGCGGCUCUGAUCAAGAUGCAUGAGUAUCUGAUGAAUACAAAGUCAAAGUCUUUGAACAUUUCAAAAGGACGUUAUGAAAUUUUUAUGAAGAAAGAAGUGAAAGAAGGUUUUAUUGCAGAAAUGAAAGCUAAAGGCAACAAGGCAGUUUGGAAUGUGACAGAAGACAAAGUUGAAAUGACAUCAACAAAUUCAAAAAUGGCUGAUGAAGCCUUGGAAAUCUUCAAGGAGUUUAUUCCAGAGAAAAGAAUUCAAAUGAAAGACCUUGUAAAAGUUUUGACUAUGCAUGACUGGCAAGCUUGUGUAAAGGAACUAAGAGACAAACAUAAUGAGAAGCUGAUCAUUUCUUCUUCAAGCUCUGAAGUUUGUGUAACUGCUUCUAAAGAUAUUUUUGAAAAUGUAUUCAAGCAGAUAGAACAUGUUAUGAAAAUCUGUUCUGAGAAAUGCCGCAUUGAUCACAGAGUUGUGAAAUUGUCUCCGCAACAAUUUAGGUACAUAGAACGUUUUGGAGAACAUAAAAUUGGAGAAAUCCCAAAUGCAUGUAAUUCAAAAGAGUUUGAAAUAAAACAAAACCAAUCGGACUGUUCAAUAGAAAUUACAGGCAAUGAUGAAGAUGUAAAAAAAGCCUAUGAAAAUUUGAUGAGAUUUAUUAAAAACCUUCGUGAAGAUUCUUGCAGCAUAAACAAACCUGGAUCUAAGGUGUUCUUUAACUCAAGUAAAGGUCGAGUAGCCAUGAAGAAAGCUGGGAAAGACACAUCCUGCAUCAUUUUAGAUAAAGAAGGAAUACGGCACAUUAAAGAGAAUAGGGAGAGUGGGUCAUUUAGAGGCCAUAUUAGAACAUCCUAUAGUUUACCUAUAAAAAUUGCUGAAUGUGAGUUGCAAUUUUGUGAUAAGAAGUUAAUUGUUAUGAGGGGAGAUGUUACAAAAUUGAAAGUUGAUGUACUUGUGAAUGCUGAGAAUGGAAUGUUAGGUUUAGCCUUGGCAAUAUCUAAAGCAGGAGGAAAAUCUAUUCAAGAGGAGAGUAGGACAUACUUUGUGUCCAAAGGCACUGUUCCAGAUGGUGAAGCGAUUCCUGCUCAACCAGGUGAACUCCCCUAUAAACGGCUGAUCCAUGCCGUAGGGCCAAGAUGGCGUGAUGGAAGUCACAAUGAUGAACAAUUGCUCAAAAAAGCCAUAUUUGAAUGCUUGGAAUUGACAGAUGGAUAUAAGCAUUCUUCCAUAGCUAUCCCUACAUUAAGUGCUAGAAUUUUUGGAUAUCCAGUUGCAGAAUCAGUGAGGGUCAUUCUGGAUGCUAUUGAAUCAUACAUCAAGACUGUACCCUCCUCUUCAAUAAAAGAAGUUUACUUCUGUGAUGUAGAUGACACCAUUGUCAAGGAAUUUGUCAUAUGUCUUAAGAGAAAAUUUGGAUUGGAAGUAAAGGAGUUCAGUGUGGAUGAACACGUCCAAAAAUCACCAGUUGAGAACACAGGUUCUGAUUCAGAAGAAGAGAAGCCCAGAAGAAGCAGGUCUAGGUCUGAGAAGCCUAUCUGUGAGAUAAAGGUUAUCAGUGGUGAACUGGCAAAAAUGAGGGUUGAUGUGAUUGUAAGCUCCACUGACAAAUCAUUAAACCUCACUCUUGCUGCUACAUCCAAGAGUCUGCUCAGGGCAGGGGGUGAGUCUCUGCAAGAUGAAUGUAUAAUGAAGUACAAACAUGGCAUUCAACCAGGAGAAGUAGCCAUGACUAAGGGAGGUAAUCUCUAUUGUAAGCAAGUAUAUCAUGGAACCAUUAAGAAGUGGGAUCACAACAGAGGAGAUGCACUCAUUAGGUUCACUGAAUUUGUUGAUAAUUGCCUGAGAAUGGCAGACAAGAAUUGGAUGAGUACUAUUGCAUUCCCAGCUAUUGGGACAGGAAGACUGGGUUAUCCCCCUGAUCUUGCUGCAAAGACAAUGCUCAAAUGCUGUAGAGAUUUCCUACGUCACAAUAGUUCAACUUUAUUGAAAGAGAUUAUCUUUGUUGUCUAUCAUGAAGAUAAAGAUACUCUCCAGACAUUUCAAUCUGUGAUGAGUUCAGAGGAUGUAAGUAGAGGAACAGAGACGUCAAGGUCCAGUUACCCACAGAGGCGGAGUACAGAUUUUGGUCGCAGAGACAAGAGUUUCAAGUUGAAUAAACUUAAUGUUGAGAUUCAUCAAGGGGACAUAACCCAAGAGAGAUCUGAUGUGGUAGUCAACAAAGUCACAGAGAGUUUGGACUCAUCAAAAGGUAGUACAUCAGUUGGUUUGCCUUCCAAUUGGGCCCAUAUGACGAGUGACCAGACAAUGGUGGAAGUCAAACUCUCACCAAGUGACAAUGAAUACAAGGAUGUAGUUGCUCGGUUUACUGCUACCAGUGGUGGUCCUGUUUCCAUAUCAGAGAUAAGGAGAGUUCAGAAUCCUUCUCUGUAUCAACAAUAUGCUGCCAAAAGGAAAGAAAUUAGCACCAGGAAUAGAAAGAACCCCGAGCAAUGGCUUUGGCAUGGAACAUACCCUGACACAGUAAAAAAGAUUAUAAACAAUGGAUUCAACCGAAGUUACUGUGGCAAACAUGGGACGUCUUGUGGAGCUGGCGUUUAUUUCGCAGUACAUGCGUCAUAUUCACUCGGUUAUUGCAGCGCAGAUUCCAAUGGAUGUAAACACAUGUUCUCGGUUCAAGUAGCAACUGGAGAUGUUUGUCAGGGUAAUAGUAGUUUGCUCGUCUUGCCGCCAAAACUAGGAGCUGGAGGUCACGUGACAUACGACUCGGCGUCGGACAACCCUUCCAACCCUGUGAUAUUUGUCAUAUUUCAUGACAGCCAAGCAUACCCAGCAUACCAUAUCAUAUUACGAUGAUACAGAUAUGGUCAACAUUGUACUGACAUAUCCAAAUAAUGUUUGCACUCAUGUCGAUAUUUCAUCUUGUAGAUAUUUCCCCUGCUUACUUGUGUUGAUAUCUCUUCUCUGAAACAGCUCCUGUAUUUUAAAUAUGCUGUUUGUUUUAAAAUGUUUUUAAAAAUACAUGACUGUGAUAUAUAGUUAUUUCUACAUAUUGAAUGUAUAAUAUGUAAACUUAUAUAUACAUUUU
rnacentral:misc_RNA from 1 species